UACACCAACAGUUAAUUUUAAUCCAACAUCGAGGUCGCAAUCUAUUUUUUCGAUAAGAGCUCUAAAAAUAAUUACGCUGUUAUCCCUAAGGUAAUUUAUUCUUAUAAUCUAAAUAAUAGGAUCAAAAACUUACAAAUUAAUAUCUAACUAAGAAAAAGUUAAUUUAAUUUUUCUAUCACCCCAACAAAAUACACAUCCAAAACUUCUAAAAAAUAUUCUAAAAUUUAAAAAUUUUUAAAAUAUAUAAAACUCUAUAGGGUCUUCUCGUCUUCAAUAAAAAUUUAAGCUUUUUAACUUAAAAAUAAAAUUUUAAUAAAUUUUUCUAGAGACAGUAAUUUUUUCAUUAAACCUUUCAUACAAGCUUCCAAUUAAAAAACUAAUGAUUAUGCUACCUUUGCACAGUCAAAAUACCGCGGCCAUUUAAUCAUAUCAGUGGGCAGGUCCGACCUGAAAUUAUCUACAACAAGCCAUGUU
rnacentral:rRNA from 1 species